CACAAAGGCACAUUAAUUUCUACAUACUGAUUUUUCCUUAUUUUUCUUUUUUUUUUUUCCUUUUCUUUCCCCCCCCAAGAGGGAAUUGUCACAUUUUGCAUGUCUUCCAGACACCAGCAGAUGUCUUGUGUACCUUCAGGCAAUUAUUGGAGUGACCGCCCUACUUGCAGUGGAAUACGCCCGUGCUGAUGGAAUACAGCAACGCACAAUAAACUAAUGAGAACUUUCACACCAAGCAACAGUCGUGGGAGGGAAAUUACUUCUCAGCCUCGGCCAUGUUGGGAAGGAGCAGGCACCACCCCUCCAAAAAACAGCACUGAGAGGAGAGGCAGCCAUGGAGCAUGCUCUAAUGAUAUGUGGGGAGGUGCCAGGAAUGUGGUUCCUUAAAUUGCUUUUGCAUUUGCGAUAUGUUUCAAACCCAACAGGUAUAAUUUUUUAUACCGAUUACUUCAGCCUCUCUUGGAGAAAUUCUGAGUAACAAUGGGUUUCCAGUAAAAGAGUAAUGAGAAUGGGUUUUGUCCGUGUAAAAAAGAAAUAUUUGAAAAAUAGUUGUCCCUAGGUUUGUUCUGAGACAUGGUUGUAGAUAUCUGACCUGGAAAAUAUGAUGGUAAGUAAAUUCUGGGCAAGUCAGAGGUAGCUUGAAAUGUGGUGUUGUAAUUAAUACAGGAGUACAUAUCACACCCACACCUUCAGGUCUGGCCACUAGCAGAUGACUGGAGAAUAACAGGGCCAGCAUUUAUGAUACACCCCUGUGGCAGUUGCACUUCAACCCCCCGAGAACUGCUGCGGCAGUUGCACAUCCCCCUCUGAGAAUUGGAGCCUUCAAUGGGGCAGUUAAUGGCGCCUUUGUGGGACCUGGAGUAGGUUGACAGGGUUGUUAGCAGAGGAGGGGCCCAGAGAAGCUGAGAAGCUUCUGGAAAGCCCACAGCCAGAUCUGAUCAGACUAUAAAACGGGGUUCCCGUCAAAGAUUCCCUUUGUGUGGUCUUCUUGGAGCAGUGGGUCUGUGCCAAAGCCCUCCCCUUAGAUAGGAAUGCCAUCCAAGGAAACUUCUCAGCAUUGGGAGUGCCUCACCUCCUCAUUUGAGUAAGUGAUAAUCUACUCUAAGUACUUGCUGAACCAGGUAAGUGUUUAUUUCCUAUGGGUAUCCGGGAAAACCAGAAGGCUCUGGUUUUGUUUCUUGUGAGUAUGUGCAUGCAUGCUGUGGAUCCUUAUUAUUCUCAUUUGCUGCACCCCAAUAAUCUCCUCAACUGAUAUCCGAACUUUUAUCUUAUGUUAUUGGAGUGCUAAUUAAUUGUAUAAACCCUGUUCUGGUCGUUUCAUUGGCUGGACUUUUCCGGUCAGAAUAAAGUCUGUUUUGGAACUUGUUGUCCACCUAAAACUGACUUUGGGGUCCCUCCGUGACAACCCCUCAAAUGCCUUCUGUCUGCAUUCAGCUGAAUGGCAGUAAAGGUGGCUUUAGAUUGCUGGAGAGUCCAUUUGUGCUGCUAAUGAUAACAACAGAAAAGAAGGAAGGAAUGGAGCUCCUUGAUGAGGUUAUGGAUUGUAUUUUGCAGGGAACUUUCUUUGAACCUGUUUGUGUGGUACCCAGAACUGGUGCUCUUGGUACUACCAAGUUACACAGGACAGAUCAGCCAGAGAUACCUGCCCAGGUUCCACUCAGUUCAACACAACUCCCACCACUUCUGAUCCAUCUGUCAAACCUAAAGCAAAACAUACCAUCUGACUGCUUGACUGAAUGGGAUUCAGUGUAGAAAACAGAUCUCCUGGAGGCCCCUCAUUAUUAAUAAUUACAGCAUAAUAAAAAGCACACAGCUAAUUGCUGAUCCUCUGCUGUAACCUGUUAGAUUAAUAGAAACAGUUCUUCUCAGGAGAGUAGGCUCACUUUCACAUUACAAAAAUAAUUACAAUGUAAUCAAGUGCUGAGAAGUCACUCAGGAGGUCUGUGCAUAAUAGCCCACGCAUACGUUUUGCCUUUUGUGUCAUAGCUGCUCACGAGGGACAAAAUCUUUUCUGCCACAGAGUCCGGACUUCCCCCUUGCACAUGAGAAAGGAGCAGACAGACCAUGAUGGGACAGCUCUACCCUUUUACAAGGGGUCUGGCCCUGCUGCGGACACAAUCCCUGAUUACACCCCAUCAAUCAAACAGAAAAACCUCGCUGAGUUAACCUAUAUCCUGUAACUGCACAUCCCUGCACAUCCCUUUCAGAUAUGAAGCUCAGGAAGAGGUUGCAACAGGAAGGUGUUUGUCUGUCUGUCUCAUGCUAAAUACUGCUGCUACUACCCCACUACAAGCCCAAGCAUGGAAGGGACAGAGAGGACACCUCCCCGGGGAUGCUGCCUGCGUCCUGCAGAGGAAAACUCACCCCACAGAGCCCAGUGACCUGCUGCUGCGAAGGAAAACACAGAAGCUCAAGUGUUCCCUGGGUAUAUUUGUCCCUCUUCUGAGUCACUCAAGCACUUCCUUCUGCCUCAGUGCAGUUGCUAAAGAUGCCUUCCCAGCAUCUAAAAUAAACUGAAAGAUUGCUGCAGCUCCAACAAAAGCUGCACAAAACCAGAGCUUUGGAGUCACUGACCAAUUAAUCUUCCUGUGGCUUUUUUUUUUAAUUACUCUUUUAAUCUCAGAAGUAAUUUUCAGAAGGAAGAUCAGAAGAAAAUUUCUACUCACACACACUUACUUCUCUCUCUAUAACCAAUUUGCAGCUUCCUUUCACUCCAGGGUGAAAAUGUACUGCAGUUCUCAUCAUUUCUAUUCCCUGCACCUGUGCAUGAAGUCAAAACUCCUCUGCAAUCAUCACAAUGUAUCCACAGGGCUUCAGACAAGACUCUUCAUUAUCGUAAGCGUAAGGCAUUAAACACUUAUUCACGCAUUGUUCUUCUCAAAAAAAACAAAAACAAAAGCAAAAAUAAAAAAGAAACAAACAAACAAACAAAACAGAAUGCAUAUCUAAAAGUCAAUUACUGUAAUUACAUUUAAAAAAUUAAAAGAAUUUUCGUAUCCUUUAUUUUGAAUGUUCCAUUCUGAUUUUGUAACAAAGAGGAAAAUAUUAUGAAAAUAUUAACUCACCAAAAGACCAAAGUACACAGGUUGAAUUUCACAGAUUUUAAAGAAAAAAAAAAAAAAAAAAGAAAUAAAAGGAAUAAUUAUCCUGUCUGACUUUUUGUAUUCUACAGACCACUGCACGUGCCUUCCAUAUGUUAUCCUGAUCUCACACCUCAUUUAGAGCUAGGCAUUUCAGUCCUUGAUAGUCUAAACUAUUGUGUACCUCUGAGGAACAGAAAAAAAAAAGGACAGACAAAGACAGUACUAACGUCCAAGGCCCAGCGAUCCGUUCAGAGUCAACCGUACCAUAAUGAAAAAAAACAAAGAACUCAUACUCCCUCCUUCCCCCCCACACACCCCCACCUCCAAUUUGAUCCUUCCACAGAAUGAUCCCAGACAAAAAACCCAGGGAAAACAUAUUUGCAGACCUGAAUACAUCAGGGGUUUGUUCUGGGUGUGAAGACAACAAACACCCGAGAGUCUGAAGGAAGAAGAUUCACAUUUCCAUUCUUCAGUUUUAUUCUACUUCAGCCUAUAUCCUUGGUCUCCUAGUAUGCUGAGGUGGUCCUCAUAUUCUGAACCAUCUUCUAUAUUUAAUGUUGAGACUCUCAGUUGGAUCUGACUGCUUCGUUUUUGUGUCUUUACAAAUCCUUUAUCUUUGACAUUUUUAAAAUGAAUUCAAGCCAUGCAUUCUGUAUCUUACUUUCCAGGGUAGCACAUAGAAUUCAAUAUAUCAAGCACCUUGUGCCCACUAUAACUUCUCCCAAGGAAGUAUUUUCAAUAAGCAUGAACAUGCCUUUCAGACCAGGCAAAAGGGGCUAAAGAGUGGUCCUGGUAUGAGAAUCCUAUUUUGAUGUCAUUAAGAAUUCCUUACGAGGUAGAACUCUGAAUUCACUGAUUCUGGCUUGGGUCAACAAUCAAAUCAUUUUUCCAUUCUCACAGAUGGGACUUAAUACACCUGGGGAAACUUCUUCAGAAGUCCCCACAUGCAGAAUGCAACUCCCAUGUUUCUCAGAUUAUCAGUGGGGCCUAAAGAGUGGGCAUAGAUGACCGAAAAGGUAAUGAUGCACCUGAAUGCUUUAAAAUAAUCUGUGCCUAGUUGACUUCAAUUUCACAAAUACCAGAUUUUUACCUCUUACAUCUGGACUAAAAGAGUAGUGCCACAUUUCUGUAAUACUAACAGAACAAGAAUGGGGAUUUUUCUCUAAUCCUUUUUGACAUGGAUAACAUGCUGACUUUCACAUUUAAUUUUUUCUUUUUUUUUUAAUUACUGUCUGGUUGGUGAUUAUUUACAUAAGAUAAAGAAUGUUUGAAUGCUUCUACAGUAAUUAAGUUUCAUCAUUUUAGACUGUUCUUUACAUGUAAAGGUAAUUGCUUUAGGUUGUUAUAAAUCUUGUGUAAAAUUCCUCAAGCAAUAAACACAAGCUGUAUCUCA